GAUGAACGCUAGCGGCAGGCCUAACACAUGCAAGUCGAGGGAGAGGUUAUCUUCGGGUAACCAAAACCGGCGCACGGGUGCGUAACGCGUAUACAAUCUGCCUUUCACAUAGGGAUAGCCCGAAGAAAUUUGGAUUAAUACCUAAUGGUAUAUAAGAGCGGCAUCGUUUUUAUAUUAAAGCUACGGUGGUGAAAGAUGAGUAUGCGUUCUAUUAGCUAGUUGGAGAGGUAACGGCUCCCCAAGGCGACGAUAGAUAGGGGUUCUGAGAGGGAUGUCCCCCACACUGGUACUGAGAUACGGACCAGACUCCUACGGGAGGCAGCAGUGAGGAAUAUUGGACAAUGGUCGGAAGACUGAUCCAGCCAUGCCGCGUGCAGGAUGAAGGUCCUAUGGAUUGUAAACUGCUUUUGUAAGGGAAGAAUAAGGAGUACGUGUACUUUGAUGACGGUACCUUACGAAUAAGCAUCGGCUAACUCCGUGCCAGCAGCCGCGGUAAUACGGAGGAUGCGAGCGUUAUCCGGAAUCAUUGGGUUUAAAGGGUCCGUAGGCGGGCUGAUAAGUCAGAGGUGAAAGCGCUUAGCUCAACUAAGCAACUGCCCUUGAAACUGUCAGUCUUGAAUGAUUGUGAAGUAGUUGGAAUGUGUAGUGUAGCGGUGAAAUGCUUAGAUAUUACACAGAACACCGAUAGCGAAGGCAUAUUACUAACAAUUUAUUGACGCUGAUGGACGAAAGCGUGGGGGAGCGAACAGG
rnacentral:rRNA from 1 species